rnacentral:tRNA from 1 species
GCGUCGCAAAUGGCGCGAAGACCGUGACGAAUGCCGGAUGAAACUACAGAUCGUUAAUCUCCAUGUCGCGGGUUCGAAUCCCGUCGGGUCCUCCA